GUCGGCAUUGCCGCGGGUGGAAUAGCCGGAGCGUUGCUGGCGCUUCAGGUUAAUGGCGAAUGGAUCCGCUGGCUGUUCGUUAUCUAUCUGCUGGCG
rnacentral:tRNA from 1 species